ensembl:rRNA 5S_rRNA 5S ribosomal RNA
GUCUACGGUCAUACCACCCUGAAAGCGCCUAAUCUCAUCUGAUCUCAGAAGCUAAGCUUGGAUGGGAGCAAGUAGAAAUAUGUUACUUGAAACCUUGCUCUGGGUC